rnacentral:rRNA from 1 species
AUUGAACGCUGGCGGCAGGCUUAACACAUGCAAGUCGAGCGGGGGAAGGUAGCUUGCUACCGGACCUAGCGGCGGACGGGUGAGUAAUGCUUAGGAAUCUGCCUAUUAGUGGGGGACAACAUCUCGAAAGGGAUGCUAAUACCGCAUACGUCCUACGGGAGAAAGCAGGGGAUCUUCGGACCUUGCGCUAAUAGAUGAGCCUAAGUCGGAUUAGCUAGUUGGUGGGGUAAAGGCCUACCAAGGCGACGAUCUGUAGCGGGUCUGAGAGGAUGAGCCGCCACACUGGGACUGAGACACGGCCCAGACUCCUACGGGAGGCAGCAGUGGGGAAUAUUGGACAAUGGGGGGAACCCUGAUCCAGCCAUGCCGCGUGUGCGAAGAAGGCCUUAUGGUUGUAAAGCACUUCAAGCGAGGAGGAGGCUACUUUAGUUAAUACCUAGAGAUAGUGGACGUUACUCGCAGAAUAAGCACCGGCUAACUCUGUGCCAGCCGCCGCCGUAA